GUGGGGAAUAUUGGGCAAUGGGCGAAACCCUGAUCCAGCGACGCCGCGUGAAGGAUGAAGGCCUUCGGGUUGUAAACUUCUUUUGGAGGGGACGAAUAAAUUGACGGUACCCUCAGAAAAAGCCACGGCUAACUACGUGCCAGCAGCCGCGGUAAUACGUAGGUGGCGAGCGUUACUCGGAAUUACUAGGCGUAAAGCGUAUGUAGGCGGUUGUAUAAGUCUAUGGUGAAAUUUCCUGGCUCAACUGGGAAGGGACAUAGAUACUGUAUGGCUUGAGUGUUGGAGGGGGAGACGGAAUUCCUGGUGUAGCGGUGAAAUGCGUAGAUAUCAGGAGGAACACCGAUGGCGAAAGCAGUCUCCUGGCCAAAUACUGACGCUGAGGUACGAAAGCUAGGGUAGCAAACAGGAUUAGAAACCCCUGUAGUCC
rnacentral:rRNA from 1 species